AUUUUGGAUGGAUAAACCUUUUUCCUAAUCAUUUAAAAGAUGACCAUUGUUGUGUCUGUGGUAAAGAUGAGGACCCUGUGAUAUGAUGGGAGAGUUGGAAAGCUAAAGAACAUUAAUGGCAAUCCCUGCUCAACCACAUGAUGUGGUGCACAAAAGGUUCGGUG